GGAGAGUUGUCUCAUUGGCACUCAUACCACAUCUUUAUAAAUGUAAAUUUUUUGUUGUGUUUGAUAUAAAAAUAAGGAGAUGUGGUAUGAUUGACAAUUAGACAAAUAAAAAUAAGGAGGUGCGGUAUGAUUGCCAAUGAGACAACUAUGC
rnacentral:sRNA from 1 species